GAACCUACGGGACGCAGCAGUGGGGAAUAUUGCACAAUGGGGGAAACCCUGAUGCAGCGACGCCGCGUGAUUGAAGAAGUAUUUCGGUAUGUAAAGCUCUAUCAGCAGGGGAGAAAAUGACGGUACCUGACUAAGAAGCCCCGGCUAACUACGUGCCAGCAGCCGCGGUAAUACGUAGGGGGCAAGCGUUAUCCGGAUUUACUGGGUGUAAAGGGAGCGUAGACGGCGGAACAAGUCAGAAGUGAAAACCCGGGGGUCAACCCUGGGGGGGCUUUUG
rnacentral:rRNA from 1 species